AGUAAUGCUCGAGAGAUAUGUCUCAAAUAAGAAGAAACCUCUAGUAAGUCUAGUACUUCCCAGAUGCCCCUAAUCUCUAAUUGAUUUCACCUUCAAAUUAGGGGAGAUAGUCUUUCCCUACUCAUUCACACCAUUCGAUUAUUGAUUCUUUGAUUUCUGAGGAGUCGCGUUUAUUCUCUACAUUUGAGGGUUCAGAUUCGACUCUGUCCCUUGUCGGGGGUGUCGAUUGAAGGUCACACCGAGACAGAGUGCAGCAGGCGAAUCGAUGUGUAACAGUGUAAGUGAAGUAAUAAUGUCCUCAUCAAUUUCUUUACGUAUUCUUGUCGUGUGGGAUGGGCGUGAUGAAUUGCUGUCUGCAACCCUUUUACGUUGAUGUUCGUGACUACGAUAGCCGGUGCCCGGAUAGCAGUUAAUCUAUCUAAACUUUAAUUAGACAACUUUGGAUAGUUUCUUCAGGUUUUGUAGUUGUGUAGUUUUGCUGCUGUUGUUGUGAUGGUGUCUGUGUUUUGUAUGCCUUAGGAAGCAAGAAUAGCAAGUAGAUAAAAAUAUUGAUAUACAUUUUUUAUCAAUCUAUUGAUUGUAGUC